AUGAACGCUAGCGGCAGGCCUAACACAUGCAAGUCGAGGGGCAGCACAGGUAGCAAUACUGGGUGGCGACCGGCGGAUGGGUGCGUAACGCGUAUGCAACCUACCAUUGAUUGGGGCAUAGCCCGAAGAAAUUCGGAUUAAUACUCCAUAAUAUUCAUCAAAGGCAUCUUUUAUGAAUUAAAGCUUUUGCGAUCAAUGAUGGGCAUGCGUGACAUUAGUUAGUUGGUGAGGUAACGGCUCACCAAAACGAUGAUGUCUAGGGGUUCUGAGAGGAUUAUCCCCCACACUGGUACUGAGACACGGACCAGACUCCUACGGGAGGCAGCAGUGAGGAAUAUUGGUCAAUGGACGCAAGUCUGAACCAGCCAUGCCGCGUGCAGGAUGACGGCCCUAUGGGUUGUAAACUGCUUUUCCACGGGAAGAACCCUCCGACGUGUCGGAGACUGACGGUACCGUGGGAAUAAGCAUCCGGCUAACUCCGUG
rnacentral:rRNA from 1 species